ACUCUUGCCCAAUGGUUGUAAUAGAAAGUAUUUGAUAAAUAAGUUAAAUAUAUAAUAUCAAUUAAAUGGCGGUUCUAACUCUGAGAAUCCUAAGGUAGCGCAAUCAAUAUCCAAUUAAUUGUUGGAAAGUAUGAAAAGAGUAACAAUCUGUGAACUGUCUCAACGAUAGACUCAGUGAAUUUGAAGUCGUAGUGCAGAUGCUACGUAGGUUCCGAAAGACAAGAAGACCCAGUUGAGCUUUAAUGUUAAGUUUCGUCGAUCGUUUAUCGCCAAUGUGUAGAUUAGCCGAUAGCCGUUAAUAUUCUCCUUGCGCCAGCGAGUAAGAAGAGGUAAACAAGUGAAAUAUCGGUCUUUGGU
rnacentral:rRNA from 1 species